GAUGAACGCUGGCGGCGUGCCUAAUACAUGCAAGUCGAGCGAACGGACGAGGAGCUUUCUUUUCUGAUGUUAGCUGCGGACGGGUGAGUAACACGUGGAUAACCUACCUAUAAGACUGGGAUAACUUCGGGAAACCGGAGCUAAUACCGGAUAAUAUUUUGAACCGCAUGGUUCAAAAGUGAAAGACGGUCUUGCUGUCACUUAUGGAUGGAUCCGCGCUGCAUUAGCUAGUUUGUAAGGUAACGGCUUACCAAGGCAACGAUGCCUAGCCGACCUGAGAGGGUGGUUGGGCAGACUGGAAGUGAGACACGGUCCAGACUCCUACGGGGGGCAGCAGUAGGGAAUCUUCCGCAAUGGGCGAGAGCCGGACGGAGCAACGCCGCGUGAGUUAUGAAGGUCUUCGGAUCGUAAAACGCUGUUAUUAGGGAAGAACAUAUGUGUAAGUAACUGUGCACAUCGUGACGGUACCUAAUCAGAAAGCCACGGCUAACUACGUG
rnacentral:rRNA from 1 species